rnacentral:rRNA from 1 species
CGGAGUCUAGCAUGUGCGCAAGUCAUUGGGAUUAAACCUAAAGGCGUAAUGAAAGUGAAAGUUUAUUAAAAUUGCCUAAGGGAAGAUGGGUUAAUGCCUCGCAUUCCCAGGGCGUCUUAUUCUCAUUAUGAGAAGAGGCGCACCAAGAGCGUACACGCUGGGACCCGAAAGAUGGUGAACUAUGCCUGGUCAGGACGAAGUCAGGGGAAACCCUGAUGGAGGUCCGUAGCGAUUCUGACGUGCAAAUCGAUCGUCGGAACUGGGUAUAGGGGCGAAAGACUAAUCGAACCAUCUAGUAGCUGGUUCCCUCCGAAGUUUCCCUCAGGAUAGCUGGCGCUUAAAGCGCAAAAGUUUCAUCCGGUAAAGCGAAUGAUUAGAGGCAUUGGGGUCGAAACGGCCUCAACCUAUUCUCAAACUUUAAAUGGGUGAGAUCUUCGGCUUGCUUGAUUAGAAUUAAAGUGCCAAGUGGGCCAUUUUUGGUAAGCAGAACUGGCGCUGUGGGAUGAACCAAACGCUGAGUUAAAGCGCCUAAAUCGACGCUUAUGGGAUACCAUGAAAGGCGUUGGUAACUUAAGACAUCAGGACGGUGGCCAUGGAAGUC